GCUUGAGUCUUGACAUUUUUGUGGUUUUGUAUUUCUUGUGCAAUUACACUCGAGACCUGCGGCACCAACAAGAUGCAAGGAUAUAUUUGAUAUUUCAGUUUUUUACCUUUUACAGUAUUCAUUGUUAGCUUUCAGGUAAGUAUAUUGAAGCUUUUCUGAAUGAUUUUGCCUACUGUGCGUUCGCGUAGUUAUAAAACCGUGUGAGGGUCGAUAUCUUGUAUAAAUUGACUUUUUGUUCACUGCCAGAACAGACCAUAUAUCACCACAAUUACCUGACAUGAAUUUUUUUAAUUAUUGAUUUUGUCUUAAUAUGUAUUUGAUAUUUCAUGUGUCGUCGAUAUAAAAGUUUGAUUCUGAUCGUCAGCGACGUUUUGAUAGUAUUUCAGUUGUGACGAUCGAUGAUUUCCAAUUGCUCAACACUGAAAUGUGGUGUCAUUUUGUCUACAAUAGAUCAGUAUACAUAUUUCUGAAGAACGCAUCCUCAUUUACAUAGAAGAAAGCUAUGACAUGUAAACAUCAAGGUCAUCAAUUAGACUGCAUUGAGGGGAAAACCCCUGUCAUUUUGAGAACAUAGAACAACCCAAUGAGAAGUGCAGCUAGCUUUCAUUACUGAAGUUGCAUGACAUGCAUAGGUGUUUAUUAAUGAACAAAAUUCAGAAUGACAAGAAGUGUGACAAAUUUGCAACAUUGGUUACAAAUAAUGGCAACAUUGAAUUGGCUGAACAUUAACCCAUUGAGUAGUGGCACUCUCCCCCUGAUGAGAAACCACAUCUGGCAUUAUAGGGUGCAUUGCCACUUAAAGGGUUAAUAUCUGAAGUCAUAUGUUAAACCAAGUCAUGUCUGUGAUAUAUCUAUCACAUGUUAAGUUAUAAAUCACAAGCAUCAUGCUUUGAUAUUCUGCAUCACAUCAUCUUACCUUAACCUUACCUAAACCCAGGGGCGAAACUAGCCUCUCUUAAUUCGGGGGGUGUCUGCCAGAAUUGCCCUGCCAAAAACAAUGAUGUCCUGCAGCAAAUUUUUAUUUCUGAGACCAUAUUUUUCCCAAAAAUGUUGGCGAGCGAGGUGAAAAAAUUUUUUCCGCACAUUAAAAAACAUGGUGCAACUGAAGCCAUAGCUGAAAUCCGGAGUUUGCACAAGCAGUGAGAGCUUGUUGUUGGAAAGUCCCUAUAACUUCCUGACAAAUGGUCUUCGCUUGAAACAUAAAGUUUUUCUUUCACCGUAUUUUUCAGGUAGUUGACAUGUGUAUCCGGGCCUUCACACUGCAUCUGUCUAUACAGUAAUUGUAUGCAUAAAAUGCGAUGAAAGUUAUUUGACAUAUAUAAAACUUACCGAUUUAUGCCAAGAAAGCUAUAUUUAGAGAGCACAACAUAGAGAGCUCAAGGUUCAGAUUUUUACUUCCACUACUGCUACCAUCAGGCCUGUUGCGGUAUAUUGAUUUAGUCGAUAAAUAUAGAAAUUUCAAAAAUAUCAAUAUUUGAUACUCGAUUUUUUGAAUACCGAAAAUAUAUUGAAAUUAUUUAUUUCCUGGUAAAGUCGCACGUAAAUAGUAAAUAAAUCUUUUUAACAUUCAUAAAAUGACCAUAUUGCAGUAAAUAAACCUUUUGAUAUUUGAUUAGUUUCACACAACUUUGUUCUUUUGCUGUUUUUGAUGCGGUAUACAUUUAUCUUGCUGUUUGUGAUGCGGUAUAUUGACUAAACUACAUUUCGUAAUUUUGCUAAUAAAUUUGCAUAUUUUUUAUAUUAAAGUCGAUAUUUUCGAUAUAUUUUUUUAUAUCAAUAUAUCGAAAUGUUCCAAUCCGCAACAGCCUAGCUACCAUUACCAUUAACCAAUUAGUUGCAUACCUUAGUCUACCUAGUGUGAGAGGACUAGUGGUAGUGGAAGUCACAUCUAAACCUCUCAAAUAAACCAGUUGGAAAAAUUAUCAAAGCCGAAGUUUGUGAAUAUACGCAACUGCUGAACCUAUGGGUUAUAUUCUUCAAAAUAGUCAUGACUAGUUCUUGCCAUUUUCAAUGUGUACUCUUUUCUUUCAAAUGUGUGCUCUUUUCUUUCAAAUAUAAGUCAGUAAAAAAUAUUUCAGUCUUUCAUUGGUGUUUUUUUUUAUUUACUGUAGUAAGGCAGUCACACCCACCCACCAUGUCACUGACAUCAGAACUCCAUAGUUGGCCUGCCAUUGAGUUUAUAAUAAUAAUAAUAAUAAUUUAUUCAAACAAAGUCCCAAUAUUGGAACAUGGAUUAUUAUUCACAGUUGAGUGUUGGUUUGAGCCAAUCAGAAACCACAAAGUCACCAAAUGACCUUGCUUUUACUCUCGAUUUCAAUUUGCUUUUCAAAACUGACUUCCAAUGUUUACUUGUAAAUUCGGAAUGUUCAUUGUAAAGUUCCGAAGUUUGUUUCGAAGUUCGUUACGAUGAUUUACGAUGAUUCAAUAGCAAGCGAUUUGAUUGGCUGGUUCACUUAACUAGCCAAUUACAACUUACUAAACUUGAUCAUCGUAAAUCAUCGUUAGGUAACAAACUUCGAAACAAACUUCGGAACUUUACAACGAACAUUCCAAAUUUACAAGUAAACACUGGAAGUCAGUUUUGAAAAGCAAAUUGAAUUCGAGAGUACUUGACAGAAGUCACGUGAUUUUACUCUGGGCUCUCUACAUGCACCCUUGAUCCGAUUGGUUUGCUUCUAAUUAAGUCGUUGUUACACUGUUCGUAUAUGUAUUUCAUUUUCACUUACCUGUAUCUACCAUAAAAUAACUCAGUGGCAGUUAGCGUGGUAUACCUGUAUGCCUAUAUAGGGAAUAGGACUGUACAGUAUUUCACAAUAGAACACUGUUUAGCUAUAUCUGUCCUUACCUAACUUUAAUUCUCACCUUAUUUGUUACUUUCAUAAUCUUUCUUAUAUUUUUUUAAUAACCCUGUAGCUUCCUUUGUCUUUGAAUCCUUUCUUUUUCCUUAGUAAUAUAUUCUUUAUGUGAUUUACAUUUUUUGUUUACACUUUGUUUUGACUAAAUCCAUCUGAUUGGUUUAUUUUUGUCACAUGAUCGCUUAUAUUCACCAGUACAAAAGCACAUGUAUUUUCCCGACCCCCGCUACUAGCUUCCCGAUGAAGGGCCUUCGCUCGAAAGGCCGUCGUUUUACUUGUAUAUUUGAGGUUUUUCCCUUUCAACCCGCAGCUUUCUGAUCAUAUGGAACAACCUAUGGUAUUGUGUAAUUUAUUUGCAUUUUAUAAUUAUAGGUUGAGUAAUUAAAAUGGGUGACAGCAAUGAAAGAACAUCUCUUCUCUUUGAUCCGUAAGUAUCUGAAACUGAACGGUCAAAACUUAAAGCACCAAGCAGGGCAUGUUUUAAAAGUUGAUAUCUGCCAUAUUAGAACAUACAUGAUUAGCACACAAAUAACGGCAGUUACUGUACGUAGUAAUUGUUUAAAAUGCAUCAUUAUCAUCAUCGUCCCAUCUGUCCCCUCAAAAGGGGUGAAGUCACUUCGAUACCUUUCUCCAUUCUAUUCUGUCGUCAACGUUAUCCAGUUCCACCACUCCAUCAUCCCACACACAAUGCAUCCACCGCCUCCUCGGUUGUCCUUUUAACUAAGAAUUUGACAAUGUGUGUUUUAUUUGCAUCAACUUUUACGAAAAAGGUCUGGGUUUCACACAGGGCUUGAAAAUGUACUUGUAGACCACUUUCUGGACAUAUAUAUAUAUAUAUAUAUAUAUAUAUAUAUAUAUAUAUAUAUAUAUAUAUAUAUAUAUAUAUAUAUAUAUAUACUGUACAAGUAUAUGUAAAGCCGUUUUUACACUAGAGACCUAUAGACCUUACCUAGGACAAACCUAGAACAGUUAGUCCUGUACUGUAGUGUAAAGUCUCAGGUCAGGCCUGCAGUGUUAUUACAUUUUCACUGACCCAAGACGUGCUCGAGACUAAUUUCCAUGACAACAAACGUAAUUUUGAGUCUUUGAUGUCAGCAUUCAGUAGAUGUCAUUUUCUACUUUGUACAGUAAUUCAUUUUGCAUGUAUAUAAUGGCCAAUUCAAUGGGACUUGGGCCUUUAGUCAGGUAACAAAUGUAAACACACCGUGUAAAGCCUGGCUAGAUACUUCUCAGGUACAGGUAAAUGUCAGUCCCUCAGUGUAAACACGGCUAGACUAACAUCACAUGCUCUCCCCCUGGAACCGGUUAACUGGCAGAGUGUCAGAAUAGCAAUCUUAUAUACGAGUUCAGCUUAGCCUCAUCCCAAAGGCUUCAUCCGCAGCCAUCUCUUACAGUAGUCUUGGGUUACGGUGAUCGAAAAGUAUUAGACCCUGAAGCCUGAUCUUAACCCUAUGCAUAGAGAUGCCUGCAAAGAAGGCUACUUCCAGCCCCGCGUGUACGUCAUUAACAUUAACAGCUUGUACUGAACAGUACAAAGGAAAGAAACAAAUGAUCAAGUAUCAAUUGACAUGCUACAAAACAAAAACUUACAAGUGAACGUACUAAAGCAAGCACUCAUUGCACCUUAAUCAAGGUGACGGCAGGUUAUCGCAAAAACUGCAUCCCAUCAGCGACGCUACAUCUCCAUGACCAUGGAUGCAUGGACCGCACAGUUAAAUAAUACGAGUCGACUUGUACCAAGUCUAGUACAAAUACAGAUUGGUGUAUACUGUAAUGUAUGUAGAAGUGAUUGUUUACUUUGCUUUUUCACUGAAGCUCGCAAUCUUCUGAAAGUGAAUUGCAGAUUCAGCCACAAUCUUCAGGUAUACAACGUAAACCACAUGGAAAGGCACCACCACACUACAAUACCAUAACCCAGAAUAAUUCCGAUGGG
rnacentral:lncRNA from 1 species